UACAGAGGUCUCAAGCGUUGUUCGGAUUCAUUGGGCGUAAAGGGUGCGUAGGCGGCGCGGUAAGUCGGGUGUGAAAUCUUGGAGCUUAACUCCGAAACUGCAUUCGAUACUGCCGUGCUUUGAGGACUGGAGAGGAGACUGGAAUUUACGGUGUAGCGGUGAAAUGCGUAGAUAUCGUAAGGAACACCUGUGGCGAAAGCGGCUCACUGGACCACAACUGACGCUGAUGCACGAAAGCUAGGGGAGCAAACAGG
rnacentral:rRNA from 1 species